rnacentral:rRNA from 1 species
UACGAAGGGGGCUAGCGUUGUUCGGAAUCACUGGGCGUAAAGCGCACGCAGGCGGAUUGAUAAGUCAGGGGUGAAAUCCCGGAGCUCAACUUCGGAAUUGCCUUUGAUACUGUCUGUCUUGAGUCCGGGAGAGGUGAGUGGAAUUCCUAGUGUAGAGGUGAAAUUCGUAGAUAUUAGGAAGAACACCAGUGGCGAAGGCGGCUCUCUAGUACGGUACUGACGCUGAGACGCGAAAGCGUGGGGAGCGAACAGG